UCUUCCCAUUCAGUGAUCAACCCUGAACACAGAACUCUCGCCAUGGGUUUGAGAGUGAUUUGGGUUUUCAUUGUUGCUCUUUUAGAAGGUGUUCAAUGUGAGGUGCAGCUUGUGGAGACAGGGGGUGGACUGCUGCAGCCUGGGGCAGCCCUGAGGCUCUCAUGUGCAGCCUCUGGAUUCACUUUCAGUGACUACUGGAUGUACUGGGUCCGACAGGCUCCAGGGAAGGGACUGGAAUGGAUUGGACGAAUUUCACCAAAUGGUGGUACCACAGACUAUGUAUCAUCCUUGAAAGAUCGAUUAACUAUCUCAAGAGACAAUGCCAAACAAACUCUGCACCUGCAAAUGAACAGUGUGAGAUCUGAGGACACUGCUACUUAUUACUGUACAAAACGCACAGUGAGGAGACCUCAAUGUGAACCCAGACAUAAACCUCACUGUGAGGCUUCUCAGGGCCACCAGGGGGCGCACAGCACACAGAAAACAGAUUCAGCCAAGGAGAUUAUGUAG